AGCCCACGUUGUGCCAGCGGAGGCCCCCGAAGGCGCGCCCAACCGAAUGAAGCGCGUCCGCAGCGAGGGAGAGAGGCCAAGCGGCGAGACAAGAGCAGGCCAAACAUACUUUACAUGAUGUUCAACCUGCACUUGGAUUUAUCACCAGGACAGCCAGAGCAUGGAGUUCCUGGUCCAAACCAACACCUUUUUUAAAGCCUGUGAUCUCAACGUUAUCUUAACAAAAAAAAUACAAUUUCCCUUUUUCUAUCUGUUGCCCAUGUAACAUUUUGCAGCAUUCAUCGGCCUGUUUUCCGUUUUAUGAAUAAAUUCAUCAAAAUCGAUCAAAGGCUACCAAA